UGUGCUGGUCCGCGACACCGAGCCUCUUCCCUCGGGUGUGGCCAAGUUUGCUGGAUUCGUAGGUGAAAAAGCGCCUCUACCCGCGUAGGAAAAGGAGAGGUUCCGAGUGUUCCAAGUUCUGGGGCUCCCCGGGUUCGAGGCUGACUUCAACGCUGAGAGACCUCAGGCGAGACCUAUAUAUGGAAACUGAGUCCAGAGAGAGUAGAAAACUUCCCUGUGGUCUCAGCGCUGGAAAAUGUGCAAAUAUCAAGGUUACCUGAGUCGGCUGGUCACUUCUACUUUUUGGACUCUUGAAGAUGGUGAGUUUUGCUAAUGAUGCGCGGCUGUUUAAGAAGCGGGUGGCUUUUCUGGCAAUCACUCUUUGUGUGCCAUCUUUUAUAAAGGUGCUUCUUGUUGCUAAGAGAUCAGUUGCUUAGAGACCAAAUCAUUAAAAAAAAUAUAUAUGUCAGGGGCCAACAUAAAUUAUAACCAAAUUUUGUCAUUUCAGUUCGCCCUCUGAACGUUUGGCUUUUGUAAUAGAUCGUAGCGUACCAAGAGAAGCCAAUUAUUAAUCACAAAUAGAAAACUGACCAUGAGGAGGAGAAAAGAUCUGUGCGUACGCUCCCAUGGACAGAGAGUAAUGCCACGUCUCCCUUUGAUGGGAGUUGCAUUGUCGCUAGGCUGUCUGAAACUUUGGCUCCUCAUGGGGGUCCUAGACAUAGGCUGUGAGGGUGGGUUUAUACACACACACACAGAUACCUGUCCCGGGCAAACUUGAGUGCAGUUUGGUGUAUGAACACAUGUGGGAAUUGUCGAGCUACUUUAGUCUUUUCCUGAGGAAAAUUUAGAGAAAAAUGCUAUGCUUAGGAAAAUGUAAGUUGGAAAUCUGAGAUAAUCUUAGCCUUCAGAGAGGUAUUUUUAAGUGUGAAUGAAUAUUAAGUUGCCACUGCUUCAGGUCCAGGUAUGGACAUGGUGGGGGCUGGGGGAGGGGUGUGCUUGGAUAAAAAGUCUUUUUGCCUUUUAUUUUCUUCCCUGUGCUCACAAA